CAUGGCUCAGAUUGAACGCUGGCGGCAGGCCUAACACAUGCAAGUCGAGCGGUAGCACAGAGAGCUUGCUCUCGGGUGACGAGCGGCGGACGGGUGAGUAAUGUCUGGGAAACUGCCUGAUGGAGGCCGAUAACUACUGGAAACGGUAGCUAAUACCGCAUAACGUCGCAAGACCAAAGUGGGGGACCUUCGGGCCUCAUGCCAUCAGAUGUGCCCAGAUGGGAUUAGCUAGUAGGUGGGGUAACGGCUCACCUAGGCGACGAUCCCUAGCUGGUCUGAGAGGUUGACCAGCCACACUGGAACUGAGACACGGUCCAGACUCCUACGGGAGGCAGCAGUUUGGAAUAUUGCACAAUGGGCGCAAGCCUGAUGCAGCCAUGCCGCGUGUAUGCCGAAGGCCUUCGGGUUGUAAAGUACUUUCAGCGGGGAGGAAGGCGAUAAGGUUGGUAACCUUGUCGAUUGACGUUACCUGCAGAAGAAGCACCGGCUAACUCAGUGCCAGCAGCCGCGGUAAUACCGAGAGGUGCAAGCGUUAAUCGGAAUUACUGGGCGUAAAGCAGCACGCAGGCGGUUUGUUAAGUC
rnacentral:rRNA from 1 species